rnacentral:rRNA from 1 species
ACGCUGGCGGCGUGCCUAACACAUGCAAGUCGAGCGAGGAGAUUCCUUCGGGAUGAUCCUAGCGGCGGACGGGUGAGUAACACGUGGGCAACCUGCCUCAUAGAGAGGAAUAGCCUUCCGAAAGGGAGAUUAAUACCUCAUAACAUUGCAGUUUCGCAUGGAACAGCAAUUAAAGGAGCAAUCCGCUAUGAGAUGGGCCCGCGGCGCAUUAGCUAGUUGGUGAGGUAACGGCUCACCAAGGCGACGAUGCGUAGCCGACCUGAGAGGGUGAUCGGCCACAUUGGGACUGAGACACGGCCCAGACUCCUACGGGAGGCAGCAGUGGGGAAUAUUGCACAAUGGGGGAAACCCUGAUGCAAGCAACGCCGCGUGAGUGAUGACGGCCUUCGGGUUGUAAAGCUCUGUCUUCAGGGACGAUAAUGACGGUACCUGAGGAGGAAGCCACGGCUAACUACGUGCCAGCCGCAGC